UGUCCUUCUCCACCAGCACCUGUUUGCGUAUAUAUAAAUUUGUCCUGUUGCACGUGCUCGCAUCGGUCGCCAUUUUAUUAUAUCAAAACGCGAGUCGCGAUUAUAAUCGGGAUUGGACGAAAGUAUCCCUCUGGAUCCAUCCGUUGCGCAGACGUUUACGGGGGGAAGCUCCCGAAGGAUCGCGCCAGCCAAAGAUGGAGGACUGUUCACAUCUUACCGGGCAGCAUUAGAUUGAAUUUGAAUUUCUAAUACUGUCAGGUAAAGAUGUCGUCCGGCCUCCCAAAACUACACAAUUACGCCCGGCCAGAAAGAGAGAGAGGGAGGAGGUAUGCGCGGGUUAAAUUCGGCUAUUGUAUGCAAGAGUUGUAGGCGGCGCUUGCCAAGACCGAUUUACACCGUCGUCGGAAAACAGCGAGGAAUUUUGUUUUGUCUAGGAAAAUUUUGAGAAAUUCACUCCCGAAGAUGCUAGAUACAACGACGCGUGCCUAUGACGGAAUCAUAUACAUAUUUAUCUUGUCAUUACGUCAUUGCUGAUUAAUUACGGCGGCGAAGGAAUGUGCGUGUGAUUAAACAGACUAUUCCUCUGUACAAGAAAACAGGAGUGGACUAGCCGAACAUUGAUAAUGUGGGUCCUGACGUUUCAUAUUUCAUUUUGCGAACUUUCAAGAAAAGUACAAAUUUUUAUAAUAUCACUGUAUAUAUUACACAAUAUGAGCUUAAUUGUAGCAUUAUUCGCCCGCAGUGAAGUAAGCAGCACUAGCAACGAUUAAUAAUUAUAUUAAUUGUACAGGGUGUGUCAACGAGAUGUGCAUACUUUUAUGUAAAACUAGCUCCCUCUUCAAAAAUGUCAUUUGGGCGUUGCCCUCAAUUCUUUCAGCAGCUCUAAACCUUACUGUAGAUUUCAAUUGGUUUUUUGGUUACGUAAAAAUGGGAUGUAAAUUUUUUUCCCGCCAUUUUGUUUAGAUGGUCAGUGACGUAGCCAAGGGUGUCCACGCUAAAUAAAUCGCUUAAUAUGGGGCUCGAAGUAAGGUGAAUUAGGCUCCGCGUAAGCGCCUUCUGUGAUCGGGCAAAGAUAAAGCGUGGUAAGUUUCUUUUAGCGUUUCUGUGAUCCUGAUACUGGUUUAAGAUUUUUGAAAUAGUAGUGGAGAAGAUCUUAAUGUGAGCUGAGAUGCCAAAGAGAAUCCCUUUCCGCAUUACUGUCAACCGCAUAUAGUUUAAAAGAUAAGUUUGUAUUAGGAGAACAUAAUACGUGAGAAUGUUUGUUAAUAAAUUUUUUAACUUGUGA